rnacentral:RNase_P_RNA from 1 species
GUGGGAGGAAGCUCAUUGUAGAGGUCACGUGCUGAGUGCUCGUCACUCCACCAAUCACCUCGGGGAAGGUCUGAGACAAGAGCCAAUAGCGACCCUUGCAGGGUCUCACCUGAUGCGGGUGAGCGAGCGAACAGAAAGAAGGGCGGCUGAGCUGCUCAGCAGGAGAAGCCGUGCGGGGCAGCUUCCGUUCCGCCGGUGGAUGCGGCACUCAGCGGCUUGGAAUCACUCGCGGCUGGCGAACUGAGUGCGAUGUAUGAGGUGGAGCACGGCUCCAGAACCCAAUUCAGACUACUCUCCCCCCAC